rnacentral:rRNA from 1 species
UACGUAGGUGGCUAGCGUUGUCCGGAUUUACUGGGCGUAAAGAGCGCGCAGGCGGUCGUUCAAGUCGAGUGUGAAAGCCCCCGGCUCAACUGGGGAGGGUCACUCGAUACUGAUCGACUCGAAGGCAGGAGAGGGAAGCGGAAUUCCCGGUGUAGUGGUGAAAUGCGUAGAUAUCGGGAGGAACACCAGUGGCGAAGGCGG